rnacentral:rRNA from 1 species
UACGUAGGGCGCAAGCGUUGUCCGGAAUUAUUGGGCGUAAAGAGCUCGUAGGCGGUCUGUCGCGUCUGCUGUGAAAAUCAGGGCUCAACCCUGGACCUGCAGUGGGUACGGGCAGACUAGAGUGCGGUAGGGGAGAUCGGAAUUCCUGGUGUAGCGGUGAAAUGCGCAGAUAUCAGGAGGAACACCGGUGGCGAAGGCGGAAUCUCUGGGCCGUAACUGACGCUGAGGAGCGAAAGCAUGGGGAGCGAACAGG